GCAGGCUGACAGUGCUGCCCUGCCCCCAGAUGUGCGCGAGGGGCCGGUGGGCGCCCCCCUGCUGGACAGCCUGCAGGGCUGUGCCGAGGCCUUCUUCCCGGGCCUGAGGGUCAAGUGCCUGCCUGCCGUGGCCGCCACUGCCAUCCGCUGCCACUCGUGUCCCGGCCAGACCCCUGGCCGGCUGCAGCUCCACACAGACGGCAUCCUGUCCUUGGAAAGCCACAAGCCAGGGGACGUGCUCUGAGUGCUCGGCCUCACGCUUUCGGACCUGCACCCCUGUGCAGCCUGGAGCUUCAUCUUUGGCAAGUCACUUCCAGGGCACGGUGAGCAGCGCGGGCUGGGCGCCCCUCGCUGGGCGCAGGCUGGAGCACGGGAGGGGGGUAUGCGGGCGGGGGACAUGGGGAGGCACGCGGGCGGGGGGCGAGGGAGCCGGGGCGCAGGUGGGAGGGGUGGCACCGACAGGGCUCCCCCAGCAGGCGGCCCCCGAGUGCCCUUCUCUGCCUCUGCAGAGGUGGGCGUGUGCAGCUUUGCCCGGUUCUGGGGGG
rnacentral:lncRNA from 1 species